UACGGAGGGAGCUAGCGUUGUUCGGAAUUACUGGGCGUAAAGCGCACGUAGGCGGCUUUUUACGUCAGGGGUGAAAUCCCGGGGCUCAACCCCGGAACUGCCCUUGAAACUGGAGAGCUAGAAUCUUGGAGAGGCGAGUGGAAUUCCGAGUGUAGAGGUGAAAUUCGUAGAUAUUCGGAAGAACACCAGUGGCAAAGGCGACUCGCUGGACAAGUAUUGACGCUGAGGUGCGAAAGCGUGGGGAGCAAACAGG
rnacentral:rRNA from 1 species